UACGUAGGGUGCGAGCGUUGUCCGGAAUUACUGGGCGUAAAGAGCUCGUAGGUGGUUUGUCGCGUUGUUCGUGAAAACUCACAGCUCAACUGUGGGCGUGCGGGCGAUACGGGCAGACUGGAGUACUGCAGGGGAGACUGGAAUUCCUGGUGUAGCGGUGAAAUGCGCAGAUAUCAGGAGGAACACCGGUGGCGAAGGCGGGUCUCUGGGCCGAUACUGACGCUGAGGAGCGAAAGCAUGGGUAGCGAACAGG
rnacentral:rRNA from 1 species